rnacentral:rRNA from 1 species
UGGGGAAUAUUGGACAAUGGGCGAAAGCCUGAUCCAGCAAUGCCGCGUGAGUGAAGAAGGCCUUCGGGUUGUAAAGCUCUUUUACCCGGGAUGAUAAUGACCGUACCGGGAGAAUAAGCCCCGGCUAACUCCGUGCCAGCAGCCGCGGUAAUACGGAGGGGGCUAGCGUUGUUCGGAAUCACUGGGCGUAAAGCGUGCGUAGGCGGCCAUUCAAGUCAGAGGUGAAAGCCCAGGGCUCAACCUUGGAACUGCCUUUGAAACUAGAUGGCUGGAACACGGGAGAGGUGAGUGGAAUUCCGAGUGUAGAGGUGAAAUUCGUAGAUAUUCGGAAGAACACCAGUGGCGAAGGCGGCUCACUGGACCGUUGUUGACGCUGAGGCACGAAAGCGUGGGGAGCAAACAGG